AGUGAACGCUGGCGGUAGGCCUAACACAUGCAAGUCGAACGGCAGCACAGUAAGAGCUUGCUCUUACGGGUGGCGAGUGGCGGACGGGUGAGGAAUACAUCGGAAUCUACUUUUUCGUGGGGGAUAACGUAGGGAAACUUACGCUAAUACCGCAUACGACCUACGGGUGAAAGCAGGGGAUCUUCGGACCUUGCGCGAUUGAAUGAGCCGAUGUCGGAUUAGCUAGUUGGCGGGGUAAAGGCCCACCAAGGCGACGAUCCGUAGCUGGUCUGAGAGGAUGAUCAGCCACACUGGAACUGAGACACGGUCCAGACUCCUACGGGAGGCAGCAGUGGGGAAUAUUGGACAAUGGGCGCAAGCCUGAUCCAGCAAUACCGCGUGGGUGAAGAAGGCCUUCGGGUUGUAAAGCCCUUUUGUUGGGAAAGAAAAGCAGCAGGUUAAUACCCCGAUGUACUGACGGUACCCAAAGAAUAAGCACCGGCUAACUUCGUG
rnacentral:rRNA from 1 species